GGGUUACAAGCUGUGUGUUUAAUGUCACGCGUACACUGGUCUAGAUUCCUCCUUAGGAAGCCAAGGGGUCUUCUGCUGGCUCGUAAUCGGACGGGGCUCGUGUUUAUGUGCUGAAUUAACGAUUCUUGUUGAUGUAGUUUCCAAAGUACUGUGGACUGAAAUUUUGGAUAAUGAUCGACUAGUGAACUUGCAGGAAAAGGAGUGCGAUGAAGUGUGGUCAUCAGAAAAGGUUGGAGUAGAGAACUUUAUAGUUAUUGAGUCUGAACUUCAACCAACAUGUUCUGGAACAUUUAAACUACGACGGACGUCUUUGUCAUUAAGGAUUUUAUUGGAGGUUUUGACAAAAUCUUUCUGCGAUGAUGGAGCGAGAGUGGCUUGUGCUGGCGCUGUUGCUGGUCAUGGCGAACGCUAUGUCUCGUCGUCACAGGGAUGCCACGCCCUACAUCGACGACGACUCGCACCAGCUGUGGACUGAAGAUGCCUCUGGAGGGCCCCUAGACGGCGAGGACGUGAGCACUCACCUUCUGCAGGAG
rnacentral:lncRNA from 1 species